CUCACUUUAGUGAAUUUUCAGGUUUUCUUUCUCCUCCCUACUCUAUACUGCUUCUGUUCCUCUUAUAUGUUGAGGGGGGAUUCCAAAUGAUUAAUUUGUCUUCUCCAAUGCUUACAAAUUGUGGGUGUACUUAUUUUUGAAACACUAGCAGUGUUAUUCACUAAUUCAAGGUUAAUUAAAAGGAAAUUUAAAAAUGAAAAUCAAAAUAUCCAAACUGGAAGAUUUCUCUUAGCUUCCAG